GGCUCCUACGGGGCGCAGCAGUGAGGGAUAUUGGGCAAUGGGGGAAACCCUGACCCAGCGACGCCGCGUGAGGGAAGACGGUCUUCGGAUUGUAAACCUCUGUCUUUGGGGACGAAAAAGGACGGUACCCAAGGAGGAAGCUCCGGCUAACUACGUGCCAGCAACCGCGGUAAUACGUAGGGAGCGAGCGUUGUCCGGAAUUACUGGGUGUAAAGGGAGCGUAGGCGGGAUUGCAAGUCAGAUGUGAAAACUCAGGGCUCAACCCUGAGCCUGCCUUUGAAACUGUGUUUCUUGAGUGCUGGAGA
rnacentral:rRNA from 1 species